rnacentral:siRNA from 1 species
UCAUCUCUGGUGUAUGUUGCAUA